UGGAUCACAUGACUCGCCCAAACCCUCUAAACUGCAUGAAUUGUCUGAAUCCCCUAAACCUGUCGCUUCAGCUUCUGAGUCUCUCAUUAAAGGGCUUGCAAAAAGAGAUCUUGCUUCUCUACUCCAGAAACAAAGAGUUGCAUCAGGACAACCCUCUACUCCACCACAGCAAAAAAGCAAAAAAAUGAGAUCUGCCAACUAAAUGUUACCGGUGACUACAUGACGGGACGGCAUUUUCUCAACAAAUGUUAACCAAUCAAGAUUGAGCUUUGUUCAAUUAUAUGCCUAUUUACUAUUUUACAUGUUGGUUUUCAAUUUACUUUUCUUUAAUCAAUCAGAGUUUGCUGCAUUUCUUUCACCCGACAUACACUUUCCAUCAGUUAAAAAAAACAUUAUGUUAGCGGGAUUUAAUUUUGUCUUUUAAUUAUUAGAAUUGUUUAAUUUGAAA